ACCCUUGUGAAGUCCUGUAAAUAGUUACUAUAUUCAAGGUGUCGGCUUCGGCCGUCUAUGGUGCUAAACGGGCUUAUGGAAUAAGCGUUGUGGACCCGGGGGCGGUACCCGGCGCCUCCACCAUUCCCUCCCGGAGAUUUCUCCGAGAGAUUUAUGGGGGCGAAAUAGGAUCGACACGCGUAGUAAAGAUUUGUUCGGUGCCCGGCAUGGUUCCGCCGUUAUCGGGCCGUUUGAGUAGUUGCAAAUGACAAUACUCGUGAGGUAGCUCUCGCUGCUUAAUUGCAGUCGGAGCAACCGCUUUUAAGCCCUAGGCUCUCACAAGCCUAGGCGGGGUUCGGGGGUGCACCUGGCAACAGAAGCCCCCCACU
rnacentral:tmRNA from 1 species